UCAAAGCCAGAAUAAAAAUCAAACGGCGCACCAAUGUGGGGAGCAAAUUGUAGUUUAAGAGACCUGAGGGGGAAAUGCAAUUUGGGUUAAAAAGAGAAUCCAUGGUUUCUUCCCUUUGUUCACAGGAGAGAAUGCAUGCAAGCAAACUAGACAACAACUAACCGACUAAUCUUCAUCUCCGUCGUCUGCCAUUCUCCGUAUCCUGUAGUCUCUGCGUCAACCAAAAACCUUCAGUAAGUUUACCGAAAAACUUCAACUUUCAAUGAUUGGAACAAAUAUUUGUUCCUUGCUUGGACUGUCAGCCCUUUUACAUGUCAUUUUAAUUAUCUAUGGGGAAUGGCAAGACUCUCAUAUGGAGGUCAGAUAUAUGGAUGUUGAUUAAUUUCUUUUUUCUGAUGCUGCUUCCUUACUAGCUUCUGGACAGUCGCCAUAAAAGAGAACAACAUACCAGUAUUUUCUUUGCUGGCAUAUUUGCUCGUGCCAAAUUCAAUCAUUCAUCACUCUUGGGGGAAUUUUCUAUUCUCGGUUUCAGAUUUGCUUGUGGGUUGUUUUAUCCAUUCUAUAUUGAAGCUUCAAAAGGUACGUGAGGAUAUUUGCAAGUAUUCUGUAAUGGUAUGGCUCUUCAAUCCAUUUACCUUCACCAUUGGAACUCAUGGGAACUGCAAGCCCAUUGUUCAUGCUAUGAUUUUGUGGAUCAUUAUCUGUCUUAUUAACGGUAUAUUUCUACUGCCAUAUUUUUACUUCCAAAGUAGAUAGAGUAGCUAUGCUUUUCUGUUUUAAUUUUAUAAAGUUCUCAGUAUGUUGACAAGCAUAAUGUCCUCAUAUUGACGUCUCAACCAUGGGUUCUUGAUGCUUGGAAAAUAUAUUUGCAAGUUUGAGACAUCUACAUCAGGGGCAAACUCUUUGAAGUGUUGUUUGAUAAAAGUAAAAAAUAUAGGAAUGAAAAAUAUAGGGCUGAAUUAUUUGUUCUGAAACUGCAAUAUUGAAAUUUUCAAGGAGAAAGCAAACUAGUAUUUAUUAAGUUAUGCACUUAUUUGCUCUUAAUUAUUUGAUGAAUACACAGAUAAAAAGUGCUGUUUGCUCUUAAUUGUACUGCACUUUUCUUCUAUUUGUAUAGAUGGGAGUUCUUAUGUGAGGCACUACUAUACCAUCUUACUCGUACUAAUCCAAGACACAAUUUUGCAAUUUAUUUUUAUCACAUAUAUCUCCAAUAUGAACGUGAAUUCUCAGUGGUGGAAAAGCUCAUCUCCUUUCUGCCUCAUUGCGUUGUACAGAUGGCUCUGAUUUUCAGAUUUGCUCUGGACCUCCCAUUUUGCCUUUUUCUGCAAUUUUCAGAGAAUAAGGUUUGUUAAUAAAUAAAUGCAAUCUUAUGAAACCUUAAGAUAUGCAUUUGCCUUGAAGGAUUUAUGGAUAUCACUCUGUGGUGAUAAACGGGACAAUACUUUGUUUGGUUCUUUUGCUUGCUGCCUCUGAUAUUGCCAUGGAGCAAAAUGAAUCUCAAGUGGGAAGGCUGAAAUUGCAUUCUUGUGUGGACUGGGGGGCUCAAACUCACUGGUUGCUGGGGGGUUAUUUGCUCGAAUGUCAGGGCAAGACCGUCGUCUUAAAUCUCUGGGUUGCAAGCAUGGUGUUUCUGGCUGCCAAUACAUUCAUCCUCGUCAUGAUUAUUCGACGGCAUAAUUACUCUCUGGUAUUCGAGCAGCUUGAAGCUCCAACUUGGAAGAAUGCAGUGAAACUUAAGUGAGGGAGUGAGUCCUAUCAUCUUGAACUUUUGGGGCCGAAGUUGAACUAGUUUUUGAUGGAAGAAAUUAUUUAGCAUUUCUUGCCU